GGGGCCGUAGCUCAGUUGGGAGAGCGCUUGACUGGCAGUCAAGAGGUCAGGGGUUCGAGACCCCUCGGCUCCACCA
rnacentral:tRNA from 1 species